GAAUCCACCACGUGGCCCGGUCAAGCCACCACCUGCAAAGAAGCCACCUCCGGGUCCAGUAAUGCGCACAAGUGGGAUUGUGAAAUCCCUUGAGAAUGGAACACUACGGAUUAGAAGCCAGUAAAGUGUCGACCGACAGCUAGUAGUAUCUUUAUUAACAUGGUAAUCUGAUAUGAGAAUAUUUUAUGUAAGAAAAAUAAAAUAUGAAGUUCUCAUAACAUGUCAACAACCAUAUAUUGGUAUGAUCAUGAGGUUUUAAUUUCUGUCGGGUUUUAUAUUGUAUUAUCGUAAUGAAGUGGAUGCAAAAUAAAUAAAGUGUUUAAUUAGCUAGACUAUAGUCUGGCUAGCUAUCUUCUUUGUUGUUCAUAUGAGUGUUAUAGAUGCCCAUUAUUAUCUUUUCUUUUGUUUUAGUUUUAGGGAUUGUAAUUAAGUGGUGCUUGAGAUAUGAAAAUGAUUGUUUUUUUUAAAGUGUUUUUUACUUGAAAAUAUAUUAAAAUAAUAUUUUUAAAAUUAUUUUUAAUAUUAUCAUAUUAAAAUAAUCUGAAAAAUAAUAAAAAUUUAAUUUAAAUAAAAAAAUCAAAUUUUUAAAUGUAAUUUUUAAAACAUGGGCUUUCCAUCCUAAUAUGUCACCGACGCAAAUCUGAGCUGUUUGUGGGUGUUCCUCUAAGACUAUAGGAAAAUAAUGAAACAAAAAAAGCCUAUAUCGAACAUUCUUGUUAAUCCAAGCAGGAAACUUCAGUACGGUUUUGUGUCAUCCUCCUCCAUGAUUAUGCUUUUACAAUUAUGAUUAUUUUUUUCCAAUUUCCAUGAAUUGAUGCAAUCCAAGAUUUUGAAGAUAAUAGUAGGUAAAUACCUUUUUGAAGAUAAAAUCCAUAGAACUCGUAUUAAUAAAAUUAUAUGUAAUCAUUUGAUUAAUAAAUUUUUUAUAUAAUAUAUCCUUUAAAAUUUGUGAGCUUCAACUCUAAAAUAAGCUCAACUAACCUUUCUGAGUCUUGAAUUGAUGAAAACAAAAGGCAACCAUCCGGCUGCCAAUCCUCCUCAAGCAACUUUUCUUUAAUAGAAAAGGCCCAAACAUCCUUAAUUUGAGAAAGGAAAUAAUAAUAAAAAAAACAAAUGAUUUAUAUCUUCGCACUCCAUUACCACAAUGAAUACAAAUUGUAUUCAGUUUGCGUACUUUGCAUAACAUAUAUGUCAUCUCAGAAACUCUAGCCUGUGAAGGCAAUCUUGUGUUCCAAAUUCCAUCAGUAAAUAUAAGAAUUCUGAUGAUCGAGAUAUCUUACCAUUUUCAACGGUCUGAUGAAAUUGCUUCCAUACAAAAUAAUGUUAUAAGCUUGAGUAAUUUUCACCAGUUUCUAGAACAACUAUUGGGUGCUUUAUGGCUCAAAACUUCUGUCGAAAUGGUGAUUAUAUCAUCUUUCAGCAGUUCUUGGAUUAGCAGUGUUAGGGCUGUCCUCACGAAACGUUGAAGUUUAUAAAUAAUAUUUUUCACUGUGUCUUAUGUCUAAUUGAGAAUGGAAAGUAUAAUUUUAGGUUUUUUCCAUUCUAUUUUUAUGAUUCAUCCGGGAGAUAUAACUGGACAUUAAAAAUCUUUACCUUAUACACAUAGAAUAUAUAUUUUUAUUAAUUAAAAACCUCAAGAGUUUGUUAUUAUUUUCAUCUAGUGUCAUAUCAAAAAAUCAUCUUAACUCAAUAGCUUAAUUUGUUAUGUGAGGUCUUAUAAUAUAAUUUAUAUUAUUCUUUAAUAUACUCCCUUAAAUGAAAGUUUUUUUGGACUUCAAACUAACACAAGUCUACGUAUAUAUUGUGCUUAAUUAUUAUUAAAUAAAUGAGGAUUAUAAGAUUUGAACUCGUGAUCGUUUGUCAUCAAAACUUUGAUAUCAUAUUAAAAAAUCAUUUCAAACUAAUAGUUUAAACGGUUAGAUAAAAUUUUAGAAUAUAAUUUAUAUUAUUUUAGAUAAAUAGAAUUGCAACCAUACUUUUCAAAGGUGGCUUAUAGAAUAAGGCAAAGAAAUGAGAAGGAACACUUUGCUUAAAAAGGUUUAUUAUUGAAUCAAAGUAUACAUUUUUCUACAAUAAUGCUAAAGUAAUUUAGUCAAAAUAAAUCUUUACAGAUCUUCUUUACAGCUAAUAGGAGGCCUUGCAUCAGUUGCAUGUAUAUCCCGUAACCAUUAUCAUCGACUUUUGUGGCAUGUUUUUCUGGAUUAAACUUUUGUGGCAUGUUUUUCUGACAAUCUUCAUCACAAAUUAGGUGGCAUGAUAUUGUUGACUUUCUUUCGCCACCACUUUGUAUGUAAAAUAGUUUUUUAAUUAGGCUAUCUUCGGAACUUUUUCAUGUUUAUUUAGUAAUUCAAAAGGUGAUUCCUAAAAAAUAUUUUCGAGUAAAAAUAAAAUGAUUUGGUUUAAUUUUAAAAAAAUUUGAAUAGAAUAGGAUGCUUUUCAGAAGUGGUAUAAAAUUUAAAAAUAUAAUAUUAUUUAUUAAUUAUAUAAAAUUUGAUUUUCAAUAUUUUUAUUAUAUAUUUUAUUUUAAAUCUUUUUUGUUCAAUUUCAUUUUUUAAAAUUUGAUUUAAUUUGAUUUUUAUAUCAAUUUUGAUCCUUAUUUUUUUAUUGUUAUUUUUUUCUCUUACUCUUUUUUUAAUUAAAUUUUUUAAUAUAUCAGAUUUAGUUUUUAUUCUUUUAAUUGCUAUUUAUUUUAUUUGAAAUAAUUAUGAAAUAAAAGUUUUUUUUCAAUUUAAACUAUUAAAUUGAGAUAAUUCUUUGACAUGCUAAAUAAGUUCUUUCAUACUUCCACCAUACGUGGAUAGAAUCCACUCCUACUUUUCAAAGUUGGCUUGUUCAAUAAUGCGAAGUAUUUGAUACGUUCGUUAAUUAUCUUGGGCACGGGAGGAAUAUAUAGUUCCCUUCAAGAAUGGUUCCCUUCGAGUGCUGCUAAAAAUCAUGGUGGCUAUAAGUAAGAGCUUCUGCUGUCUUUAUCAAUAUGUAAAAUCAUGAGAACUAUUUAUGUUAGUAUUUAAUAAUUUUCUAAGAGUUACUAAAGUUUUAAAAGAUACCAAUUGUCCCAUCAUAGACGAGUGGUCUUCCCAUUUCAAACGGUUCAAUGAAUUUAUUUUUAUAAUAUUAGAGAAUAAUAUAAAUUAUAUCUUGAGAUUUUAUCUAAUAGCUUAGAUUUUUUGGUUGAAUUGGUUCUUUGACAUGGUAUCAAAACCUUGAUGACCAAGUAAUCACGAGUUCAAAUCUCGCCACCCUUAUUUAUUUGAUAAAAAUUAAAGAUGAUGUAAUAUGAGCUGAUGCCCAAAAAACUUUCUCUUGAGGGGGUGUGUUUUAAAGAAUAAUAUAAACUAUAUCUUGGAACCUCGCAUGACAGCUUAAACUCUUGGAUUGAAUUAAUUUUUUGACACGUACAAAUGUUAUAAGCUAGAGUAAUUAUCAUCUGUGUCAAGAAUUGUAAUUGGGUGCUUUAUGGCUCCAAAAACUACUGCAGAAACGUAACUACAUCAUCUUUAAGUAUAUUGGCUCCUGCUCUACAACUGAUUAAUAUUUUUUUUUAAUGUAAAAAAAUAUUAAGAAUGUAAUAAAUGUUUUAUAACCUGAUAGGAUAUUUUUUUUUUCAUUCUUAUCUUAAAACUAUUUCCUUGAUUUCAUCUUGCUUAUUAUUGUGUAGGAUUUAUCUAAUGGGACAAUCCGCUGGUGCACAUAUUUCUGCUUGUACCCUGUUGGAGCAAGCAAUAAGAGAAGCUAAGGGAGAGGAGGGGAUCUCCUGGAGUGUCUCGCAGAUAAAGGCAUAUUUUGGUUUAUCUGGAGGGUAAGCUUUCAUCUGUUACUAUUUCAUGAAUCUUGUGGAAGUUCACUAAAAUCAAGGAAUGCAUUAUUUACCAUUUACAAGUGGAAUGAGUUAUUGAGAGUAAGAGUCACCAAUGUGAUUUCUGUUUCUUUCAGAAGAUCCCUACUAUUUACUGGUUCGUUUUGCUUAUAAUGAGUGGUUUCGUUAAAAAGAGAGAAAUAUGUGCUUAUGAUAUUACCAAAUUGUGGGAUCAAUGGUUAUGUUUAAACACCUUAGCACUAUAAACUGUUUUCCUAACUACUUUAGCUGCGUAUAUAUUUCAACAAUCUCAUGAUAGUGAGUAGAGUCAUUACCUCUGCCAGUUCCACUAGCAACUAAGCAUCUGUGUGUGCUCUGUUCAUAAAUGGCACUCAAUCCAGCAUAAGGACAUCAAUCAACGGAAUUUCCUUUGCAGUACUUUGUUCUCUGCUAUGUUAUCAUUUUCUUUUCGAAUUUUGGUCAUCUUGUUUUAUAAACUAUUGAUCAAAAUAACUUGGAAAAUAAAGAGCGAUGUCUAAGAGAAAACACUGUCUGGUUCAGUACGCUACAAAUUACUCAUGAGUCAUUGGUAUAUUCGAUGAUAUAUAGAGGAUUUUGGGUUUCGACAUCUGUAAUUUGUUUGUUUCAGCAUCUCUUUCUUAUCUGCUUGUUUAUGGCAUUAUGGUCUAUAAUUCAUACAUGGAUUACCUGGAAACACUGAACAGGUACAAUUUAUGCAAAUUAGUCGAUCAUUUCAACAACCGUGGCCUGUACCGUGCUCUUUUUCUAAGGUACCGUUUGUUUAUAAGCUCACUGGAUGCUGAUCAAUAUUUACUGAUGAAUUAUGCUAGUAUGUAAUUAUUGCCUAAGGUUAUUUUUCCUGAAUAAGGUUUUUUUCUGACAUGUGGUUACAGCAUGAUGGAAGGUGAAGAAUCCUUGCAAUCCUUUUCUCCUGAACUUAGAAUAGAAGACCCAAGCAUUGGAAAUGCUGUUUCUCUUCUGCCUCCUAUUAUUCUCUUUCAUGGAACAGCAGAUUAUUCAAUACCAUCUUCUGCCAGGUUAGAAUUUCUUGUUUUGGGCAUCAAUGAUGUGCUUCAUAUUACAAAGAUAUAUAAGUGGAUUAUAGUUCAAUAGACAUCGAGUUUGAUAUCAUUAUUCCAUUCAAUGCCUUACUUGUAUGAGAAAAAAAAGGGUUAAUUUAAUUUAGAAAUAAUCAGCCUCCUUAAUGUCUCAGAUAUCCAUACAAUUUCAAUCUGAAAAUUAUGAGGACAAUGAAAUUAGAGAUGAAGUUGCCUCAUAAUCCAUUUGGAUUUAGAUAUUCUAGUUAGAAAUUUAACAUUAAUUUCAAUUUCCUGGACAAUUCACUACGUUGUAUUCACGUAUCUUUUUUUUUAUUCUGUUUGCAGUAUAGAUUUUGCAGCUGCUCUUCAAAGGUUAGGAGCACAAGCUGAGCUCAUUUUAUUUGAUGGAAAAACCCAUACAGACUUGUUUCUUCAAGUAAGUGCUGACAAUGUAUUGUUUUAUUGUUGUUAUGAUUGGUUUAAUGCUCUCAGCUAAAUUGUUUAAUCAAUCAAAUCCUGCUACCACUUCAUUAGAUGCACUAAUAUUCUGUUUCUAAUCACCUAGAUCAACCUGAAUCUCAUUUAAAUUGGCUUAACAUCAUGAUGUUUAGGCAUAUUGACAACUAAUAAUCUCAUGUACUUGGCUGUUGAAACUCGUUUAUGACACUGAGAAUCCAACUCAUCCUAAUGAUUGGGUCACAUCAUUCAGGAUCCUCUAAGAGGUGGUAAGGAUGAAAUGUUCAGCCAUCUGGUCGCUGUGAUACAUGCUGGUGAUGAGGAAGCUCUAGCCAAGGAUGCCACGGCACCUCCGAGAAGGCGACUAGUUCCUGAGGUUCUGCUAAGAAUGGCCAGCCAUAUCAGCCCUUUCUAAGGUUUGUACACCAAUACAUUUACAUUUACAUCCUAUUUUAUUUAAUGAUGUUGACAAUAUCUUGUUCCUAGUCAACCUCCCCUGCGUUGACAACUGCAAGCUAAUUAAGGACCGAUCUUCCAACAAUUGAAUGAGGAGUUCUAGACCUCCAAACAAGAUGAAGUUUGUUUCUAAAGGUAGAUAGUUAUCUCUAUCUACACGAUUCAUGUUUGCCUAUGACAUGUUUAUAUCCUAUUUUUCACGAUGAUCUCAUCAAAGUAGCCCACUCAAUCAACCAUGACUAAAUAAGAAAACCCCAUGUUUGAGUAGACUUCAUGGCUGCCUUAUCCUGAUAGGUUCGAGCUCAUAAAAGAAAAAAAUGAAUUAGAAUGCACAUUUCUAGGGAGGUUAGAUGAUAGAAUGAGUAACAAUCUUCUAUAAACCACGCAUCUUGUGCAAAACCAUCAUGAUUUUGCAACUUCUAGUUUUGGUUUGUUUAUAAAAGGGCAAGUGCUAUUAAACCAAAAUGGAGGUCUUUUUUUAGAGGGAAAUGAUAAAGGAGGAAGAAUAAAAUCACAAAGGGAAAAGAGGGAGAAAAGUAGAGAGAAAAGAGAGAAGAAUUCUUGAUUAAAUAGAGAGACAAAGUUAAGAAAUCGCAUAAAGAUUUGAAGGAAGAAAGGAGAAAAGAGUAGGUUCAUACAAGCUAAAGAUUAAAAGCUAAAAACAAGGGGAAAUACGCAAUAAAACCUAGAAAAGAAAAGUGCAUUAUUCAAUGGGCACACCUAAAACAUUAGUGAGAUAGUGUAUCCCAAUGGGCACACCUCUCCUUUAAUGUCUUCCAUAUCAAUGUUUCAUUUAUUUGUUAUUGAUUAUGUUGAUCUUAUUUUAUUUUAGAAGUUAUGUUUAACAUGUUUUUAUUUUUAGAUGUGAUAUGCAUUUGUUAAGAGAAGUAAGUUUAAGCUAGUUUCGAGUAUGUAAUUUAUUGUUAAAAAAACAUGUAAUUAGAAUGUUUGAACGUCAAUUAUAAUGUUUUGAAGUUUAGGUUAAUCAUUUUGAUUUGGAUUUGUUUUUUUAAUGUAUUAAUGUGAUUUACAAAGACCGUGCUUUUAAUUUGUGUUUUAUACAAUGCCGAGUUAGUUAAGCUGCUAUGCAUGUUUAAAAAUGAUGAAAAAAAAAGGUGUUAAAACUAAUGUAACAAUGUUUAAAGAUUUCAAAAAUAAAUUACUAGUUCUUAUCGAUUAUGUGGACAAAUUCUUAUUUUGUUUCUUUUACAUGUUUUCUUUUAGUUUUGGAAGUUCUAGUAGGUCAUCAUAAGCAUGCUUUAAAUAAGUUUGACAAGUUCAGACUUUUCUUUUGAGGUUUUAGUUAGUUUCUAUUUUUAUGGUUUUGCUGGGGCUUUUUAGGUUUUUUUUGAAUUUCUGGGUUCAUGUUCUUGAACCGAGAUUUAGGCUUUUUUAUGUUUUGGCAUUUUAGCCUCUCUAAUAAGCUUCACUCGAAGCUAUAACUCAUGCCUGAUCGUUAUAUACCAUAUAUAUAUAUAUAUAUAUAUAUAUAUAUAUAUAUAUAUAUAUUUUUAUAACUUGUUUUGGAUCAAUCGAUCCUUAGAACCCCGAACAUUUUUCACUACCAUGUCAUUUUGAUGAAGAUUAAAGCUUAUCGUUGAUUAUACAUGCUUUUUGUUUAACGAAAUCUAGUCUAUUAUUUCAUCCAUGUUUUCAGGUUCAUCGAAGGUGUUCUUCAUGUUCUUGGCUCUUUCAAACAAAAUUUCUCGCUUGAUCUUUGUUUUUGAGUUUUAUCUUUGAACCUUGUUCUUGGACCUAGGCCAGGCUAGAAAGCCUAACCCACAUGGUUAGGCUGAUCCCAUUUCAGGCUUAGAGCAAUGUUUGGCUUGACAUCUUUUUAUUAAGAGAAAAAUAUUUUUUUUUUAUUCUUAAGGUGUGUUUGCCAAACACGCCCUAACAAAGUUAUGAUAGUUUUCUUUACCAAAUAUUUCUUGUUUUGCCAAACAUAGCCCUUGUUUUUUUUUAAUUAAUUCACUUUUAUGCCUUUAAGGAAUGUAUUUGCAAUAAUUUUUAUGUUUGUCAUUGUUUUGCUCCUUUUUAUUUAAUAUUUGAGAUUAUAACCUACAUGUGAGCGCUUUUCUAGUAUUAAAUAAAUCAUUUUUUUUGGUAAAAAUAAAAUACAAAAACAACCAAAAUAUAUCUUUUAAAAACAUAUUUAAAUAUUUUAAAUUAUGUAUGGCCAAGUCUCACAAAUAAAAUCAAAUUUGCAUAAAAAUAAUAAAAAUACAUGGCAUAAGUUAGCAUUUUUUACUACCAAAAUUCAAGAUUUUUUUUUUGUUUUUACAUGUAUUUUUAGAUUUAAUAACAAUUUUAUUAAAUCUAUGAGAACUUUGCUAUAUAUCAUAACCCAAUCCCCCCCUCCCCCAAAUUUGUUUUAUAAAAAGUGUAUAGUUUUCUUUUUUAUUAAAAAAAUCCAAAAAACAUAAAAUCCAAAAAAAAUUUUGGGACACAAGGAGAUAAGUUUUUGAGCUGAAAAAGACCAAAAUACUUGAAGAAUAGUCAGAUUGAGAUGUUUUGAUAGAAUUUGAUGAAGAAAUGAAGAUAAUAAAGGUUGAAAUCCAACCUUGACAAAAACUGGAAGAAUUAAUUAAGUUUAAGGACUUAAUUAAAUUUUUAAAAGGUUUAAUUGACUUAUUUAAGGACUUAAUUGAAAAAAAAAUUAAGUUUGAAAGCCAAUUAGAAAAAAUAAAUCAGAAAAGUUAAUUGAGUUCAAUGACUUAAUUAAAUUUCUAAUGAGUAUUGUGGAUUCAAUAAAGGACUCAAUUGAAAAAAAAACAAUUUUAAAGAUCUAAUUCGGAUCAAUUCGCAAAGAUUAGAAGAUUAUGGACACAAUUCAAACUUUGAAAGUCUAAAUUAGAGGCUUAAUUGAAAUAAAUUUAAAGUAUGGAGUUUAAUUGAGGACCAUAAUAAAAAAAAUCUAAAACUAAGGAAUACUUUAUACAAAACUUUGAAAUUUAAUGGUCCAAUUAAAGAGGGAUAAUGGUGAAAUUGCAAGGAAUCCAAAAUAUUAGGGCUGAUUGAGGAUUCCAUUACAAGUGCCAAAAAUUCAAGGACCAGAUUGAGAAAAAUUAUAAUUUCACUAUUCAUUGAUUUUUUCCCCUAAAACAAAAGAAAAAAGAUGCUUAAAUACGCCAUCUUUUAGCCCUAACUAAUUACUCUCUAACCUCUUCAUCAUACCACACAAAUUUUAUGCUAAAUUAUACCCUGAUAUUUGUACUUAACUUAAAGCCAGCAUCACAACUUUUAUUGCAUUAAAACACUAACAUAAUCUCUCCCAAAUACAUUACCCAGCUCAGCUCUACCUGCAAAAACAGCCUUUUAUCCUCCCUUGUCAGUUUUCAGAGCAAAAACAAGCUUUUAUCCUUCGUUUUAAUAAAUGACUUGGAUGUAUUCCUCGACAUCAAAGAUUAAGAUAUUAUAUCCCAAACCCAUGAGCCCUGAAACCUCUUUAUUUUUCUCAUAAAAAUCCCACAAAAUCCUAACUCAACCAGCUUACAGAAAGGGGAACAAUACCAUCAAGACUGCCUCCCAAGGCUGCAACAACCUUUUUCCUUAUUUUUUCCAACCCGAAACCAACCACGAAACAGCCCUCAAAUCACCACCAAGACCUCCUCAGCCGCUCUGUAAGCUUCAAACGUGAGCAGAGUCUUCAUCUCCUCUGACUUUAAGCAACAAUGAGAGAUCUUCCUUAGCAGUAUCCAUCGUCAUCUUCUCCGCACCGUGGGAAAGCAGCAUCAGGAGCAGCAACUCUCUCCUAACUUUCAUUCCUCCAUUGAAGCAGCAACAGCAGAGGUGAUCCCUCUUGCACCAACAACUUCUCCUUCCCGGUCCAGCACUCAAGGCCAGCCACCCUUCCAGCAGCAGCACCGUAAUCUCCCUCCAGCUGGCCACCAUCAGCCUCACAACCACAAACAACCUCCCUUUUAUUCCUCAACCAUAGCAAUAGCAACCGGCGACAUCUUCUCUUCAAUCCUGAGCAACAGUGAAAGCCCCUCCUUCCAGCAGCAUCCAGCAACAGACAACAGCAACAACCUUGAGCGGUAGUUACUGCACUUCCACUCCUCUGUUUCAGCCAUGGACAACAGCAGCGCUGUUUCUCUCCUCUGCACUGUGAACAGUUCCUCAGCAACAAAAGUAGUGGUUGUCCUCCUAGUUGCAGCAGCACCAGAGUUUUCUCUUCCUCUCGGUCACGACAGCAACAAACUCCAGUAGCAAAAUUUUAACAAAAGUACAAACCCUUAAUUAGGUGCACAAAAAAAAGUAUAAAAAAAGUACAAACCCUCAGUUGUUUUAUUUAUUUAUUUAUUUUGUUUUAUAUUUAUAUUUAAAAGUAUAAAAAAAGUUUAAAAUAUUUAACAAAUAAUAUUCCAUUUACCUCUUUAUUGAUCUCUUUAUUGAUGUGAUUUUAUUUAAAUAAGUUAUUUUGAAGUAUCUUUUUUUAUAUUCUUGGUAUAUUAAAGUUGUUAUUUAAGUUUGUUUUUCAUAUACAUUGUUUUUUCAGUUUUAGUUUUUGUUUAACUUAAGCUAUAGUGUUAAAACAAUGAUGUUUAUUCUAGGUUUGUUAGGUCUGUUCAUGCACCAAAUGAAUUCAGAAAAUUAAUUUUGAAUCCAUCUUGUAUGAAUAUAUAGAUUGUUUUAAGUUGAUAAUUUUUAUUAUUUGGUACCUUAUGCUUGAUUUUGAUGUUUUUUUUUGUUAGUUUUUUGGUUCAAACAUGUUUGUGUAUGAUAUUGUGACUUCUUGAGAUAUAUAUAUAUAUAAAGCAUGUUAUAGAAACAAAAAAAUGCCCAUUUCUAGGUUUGGUAGAGGUUGUCUUGGCUAGGAACUUUCUAGGUUUUUUAAGCAAUGUUCUUCGUGUUCUUGGAAAGAAUGUUGCCUUAGCCUAUAGGUUUGGACUGAUUUCGGUCCAUUUCUUUGUAUAUAACCCUUUUUUUUAUGUAUGAUUAAAUAAUAAUCCAGUGUUUAUUUGCAUCAAUAACAUGAUUUUAACGAUUUUCAAUCCUAAAGUUUUGGUUUAGAACUGAAACUUAUUUUGACACAAUUGUGAUGUUUAAGUGAUAAUCAAAGUAAAUGGAUGCAAGAUUACCGAUCCUUAUAUGAUUUCCAACAUAUAUGUGCCUUUGUUUUGAUCAAAUUUGUUUGUUUUGGAUUUUAUGUUGCUGGGUUUGUUCGGUGUUCUUGAUGUUAUUUUUUUUGGUGUUUGAUCCAUUUUGCUCAGUUCUUUUGAGUUUUGGUUUUUGGUGUUUUUUUUUUUUUUGGCUUUGGUCUUGUUUUUGGGUCAAACCAGGAUUUCUAGCUUGAUUUAUGGUCGAACCAAAAAUCUCGGGUCCACCUAAUCGAGUCAACAAUUGAUUGCGUCAAGUAAAAAAAAUUUGGUUAAAGGUUUUAAUACCUUGUUUGGUUUGCCAUAAUUUUUGUUAAAGGGUUUUUGGGUUUAAAGGUGUGUUUGACAAACACCCAUUAAGCUAUAUUUGGUAGUUUUAUUAAAAACAAAAUUGAGUUUUUGUCAAAUAAAGCCUAUGAAAAUAAUAAAAAAAAUAUUUUAUAUUCUUGCACAUGGCUAAAAAUCCUAAAGUUAUUUAAGCUUUUUUUUUUUUUUAAAAAUCUAAAAUACUUUGACAUGCUUUUUUUUUAAAAAAAUAUUGUAUGAAUUUUAUAACAAGUUUGUAAAAUUCCAAAAGAUUUUGGUCUAUAUUUUAAAAAUACUAAAAAAGUUUUAUUUUGUUUAUUUUAACACGUGAGAUUAUAAACUUAUACGAAAGAUAUAUUUAUGAUAUUAAAAAAAAAAAAGAUUUUUUUGUUUCUUUUAAUAUACAAGAUUAUGAACUCAUAAAUAAAAGAUAUUUCUGAUAUUAAAUAAAAAGAUAGUUUAUAUUUUUAUGUUGACAUUAGAACGAUUUUGUUUUUAAUCUGAUAAUAUAAGGACCUUUUUAUUAAGGAGAAUAUUUCUUAUAUCUUAGACACACCAACGAUUAAAAAACAUAAUAUUUCUUUAUUUUAUAUCAGACAAAUAAACAAUGUAGCUAAGCUAAGGUAAGACAUACUAAGGAUGCUAAUACCUUCUCUUUAUGCAAUCGGUCUCUUUAUACAGACUCCGAAACCAGUUAUGGUUCUCAGUGAUCAAAAUAACAGAAUAAACAAUGUAGCUAAGCUAAGGUAAGACAUAUUAGGGAUGCAAUACCUUUUUUUAUGCAAUCGGUCUCUUUAUACAGACUCCGAAACCAGUUAUGGUUCUCAGUGAUCAAAAUAACAGAAUAAACAAUGUAGUUAAGCUAAGGUAAGACAUACUAGGGAUGCUAAUACCUUCUUUUUAUGCAAUCGGUCUCUUUAUACAGACUCCGAAACCAGUUAUGGUUCUCAGUGAUCAAAAUAACAGAAUAAACAAUGUAGCUAAGCUAAGAUAAAACAUACUAGGGAUGCUAAUACCUUCUCUUUAUGCAAUCGGUCUCUUUAUACAGACUCCGAAAUCAGUUAUGGUUCUCAGUGAUCAAAAUAACAGAUGACGACUCCUAUUUUGUUCUUUUACUGAUAAAUAACAUGAAUUCAUUGUCAUUUCCACCCAUAUCAUUCUUGACAAUCCAAAUCCAAGAAAUUAAAUGAUCGCUGCGACACUGUACACGUGCGAUAACUCUCAUCAAAUUAAUUAGGUCACAUCAAAUCAAUUUCCAUAUAAUUAUUUAUUUUUAAAAAAUUAUACUAGAAUAAGUAUUGUAGCACCUAGAUAUUUUCGGUGGUGGUGGCUAUAAAUAAGAGUGCAGAGAAGAGGCAAUAGCCAUUUUAAACACAAAGUAAUAUUUCCAAGAUGAAGGCCUUUCUUAUCAUAUGCAUUCUCUUGGCUACCGUUGCCUUCUCUCCCUUUUCCACGAGCACUGCCCUAGAAUUAUCCCAUAAAGGUGAAGAACCCACCUUCUCUAUCUGCUUUCGUUUCCAUUGAUCUCAUGAUUUAAGAUAAGCAUGCCUCUGUGAGUGUAUGUUCAUGUUCAACGCUGCAUCUAUGCCUGCUUUGAUUUCUGAGCUGGUCCUCCAUGUUUUGCUUUCUCCUCUGUUAACAGUAUUUUCAUCACGGCACCGUAUAUUUACUGAGUUAAUUUGUGAUAAUUUUCAUAGCACGUUAACACGUGUGAGUAAAUCUUGCAGGUCCAUACAGGACACUUGACGCUUCCACGCAACAAGGUGGCCCGAGGAAGCCACCACGUGGCCCGGUGUAUCCACCGGCGCCACCGGUGUAUCCACCACGUGGCCCGAGGAAUCCACCACGUGGCCCGGUCAAGCCACCACCUGCAAAGAAGCCACCUCCCGGGUCCCAGUAAUGCGCACAAGUGGGAUUGUGAAAUCCCUUGAGAAUGGAACACUACGGAUUAGAAGCCAGUAAAGUGUCGACCGACAGCUAGUAGUAUCUUUAUUAACAUGGUAAUCUGAUAUGAGAAUAUUUUAUGUAAGAAAAAUAAAAUAUGAAGUUCUCAUAACAUGUCAACAACCAUAUAUUGGUAUGAUCAUGAGGUUUUAAUUUCUGUCGGGUUUUAUAUUGUAUUAUCGUAAUGAAGUGGAUGCAAAAUAAAUAAAGUGUUUAAUUAGCUAGACUAUAGUCUGGCUAGCUAUCUU
rnacentral:lncRNA from 1 species